CUUAUGUUGCAGUUGGUC
rnacentral:siRNA from 1 species